rnacentral:rRNA from 1 species
UACAGAGGGGGCCAGCGUUAUUCGGAAUUAUUGGGCGUAAAGGGCGCGUAGGCGGCUUUGCGUGUCUUUCGUGAAAUCCCUCGGCUCAACUGAGGACGUGCGGAAGAAACUGCAGGGCUGGAGUCCGGGAGAGGAGGGUGGAAUUCCAGGUGUAGCGGUGAAAUGCGUAGAUAUCUGGAGGAACACCGGUGGCGAAGGCGGCAUCCUGGACCGGCAUUGACGCUGAGGCGCGAAAGCCAGGGGAGCAAACGGG